AGGCAGUCACUGGUCGUGGACAGGAAGACUCUCUCCGGCCAUCUCAGCUGUGGUCCUCUAACCUGUGCCUGUGAGCCACCAAGAGUGAACGGAAACUAGAAGCAUUGCCACCAACAACUGGAGCAGUGACCACACUGAAGUUUCUCUGUCGAGGGGGAAGGGGAGUAAGGAGAAAAAAAAAAAAAAAAGGCAAGUAAGCAAGCAAGCCAGCAAGCACAGGAGCACACUCUCGUGGAGGCCCACACCCUCCCUGUGCCUACCCAAGAUGUGUCAGUCAGAGAAGCAUCCAGGACCGGAGCUCCAAGCAGCAGCAAAAUGGGGCUCCAAGGCCUUUGGUCAGGCUGCUGCUGUACUUAGAGGUUCCUAGGAGUUGUUCCUGAGCUGCUGCCCACUCAGCCUGCCGGCAGGUUGUACUUUCCCCAGCUGGCCCUAUGGCGGAGGCUAGGCCAGCUGAGCUGCAUGUCCAGACCUGCUCUGAAUCUGCGCUCCUGGCUGCUGACCAUCCUCCACUACCUCCUGCCCUUCCGUGUGCUCGGGCCCCACAGCCAGGUGGGAUGGAGGCCCCUGAGCAGGGUGUUCCUGUAUAAAACUGUGCCAACGAGUUUGCUGUCAUGUGCCUGUGGUCGCCUCAACAAAGUAGAACUUCCUUACUGGCUCUGGAGGCCAGUCUACAGCCUGUAUAUCUGGACCUUUGGGGUGAACAUGACUGAGGCUGCAGUGGAGGACCUGCACCACUACCGCAACCUCAGCGAGUUUUUCCGGCGUAAGCUGAAGCCUCAGGCACAGCCUGUCUGAGAUUUGUACUGUGUGGUAAUGCCUGGCCCUUGUCUCCAUUCUUCAUUAGGAAAUGAAACCCUUGUCUGCCUUUAAGCCAGGCUUAGCAGCACCGCAUGGCCGUGGCACUCCGGGAGGCUCCCUCCUGACCUGGACUGGAGCUCCCUGAGGACUUGGCAGAUGGUAGAGUUUGGGGAGCCACUGAAGGUGAGCACUACCCCCUCCUUACCUUCAAAACUCUGUCUCCUCCAGACCAGCCCAUCAGAUGGCAAGAUCCUCACCUUUGGGCAGGUGAAGAACUCUGAGGUGGAGCAGGUAAAGGGCGAAACCUACUCCUUGGAGUCCUUCCUGGGCCCUCGAACCAGUACAGAAGACCUGCCCUUCCCUCCAGCUUCUUCCAGUGACUCCUUCAGAAACCAGCUGGUCCCCCAAGAAGGGAAUGCGCUCUACCACUGUGUCGUCUACCUGGCCCCAGGAGACUACCACUGCUUCCACUCCCCCACUGACUGGACCGUCUCACAUCGGCGCCACUUCCCAGGUUCCCUGAUGUCAGUGAACCCUGGCAUGGCCCGAUGGAUCAAAGAGCUCUUUUGUCACAAUGAGCAUGUAGUCCUAACUGGAGACUGGAAAAAUGGGUUCUUCUCGUUGACAGCAGUGGGAGCCACCAAUGUGGGCUCUAUCCAUAUCCACUUUAACUGAGACUUGCACACAAACAGCCCCAGGUACAGCAAGGUACUACAAUGACCUGAGCUUUGUAACAAGGAGGGCAUUCCCAUGCACAAGGGUGAGCCCCUGGGCGAGUUCAACCUGAGCUCCACAUCAUGCUCAUCUUCGAGGCACCCAAGGACUUCAACUUGAGGCUGAAGGCAGAACAGAAGAUCUGCUUUGCAGGAGCACUGGGCUCCCUCUAGUCCUCUCGGUUGUGGCUGCCAAAGGAUCUUUCCACACAGGAGCAUGAGGGUCUUUAGCGGAGCCCCAGGAUGUCUAGGUGAGGGGCACUGUGGGGCUGACCUUAUAAGACCUGAAUGAUGUGUUCCUGCCUGUCCAUGGGUGCAGAGGAGAGGUUCUGGGUCUCUCAGGACCUAGGCCCCUUUUCUGAGUAUGGGUGGGUGUGAUUUGACCCCAAAGUCACUUUAAGGGGUGUUUUAAAUUUUUGUACAAGCCAGAGCCUCCCACCCCUAACUCCUGGCUGUGUACUACCACACCCUCUAGCUGCGCCCCGACCCGUCACAGGGCUCUCUCACUGUGCACAGGGUGACGUGCCUGCUGGGCAGAGACUGUGGAUCCACUGUCUUCCUAGAGCAGGCCACAUGGCCUUCAUAACUGCUUUCUGCUCCCAAAUUUCACCUAUCUGCAUGCUGGAAAAGUAAAAUCAUUUAUAUAUUGCUGGAUGUGUUGUCCUGGGCUCUGUCAGUGUCUUCUGAAGACAAUGACUAAUGAUGUAUGUAGACCUUUGUAGGCUCUAAGAAGCUGGCUGAAUCCUUUUGCUGGUAGGCAAGACCAAUUAAUUACUGGCUUGUCUGGUAGAGUCUGGAGUGAAAGGGCAGGUUGAGGCCUUGCCCUGCAGAAGUAGGGGACAUGCUGCUAUUGGUCUAGGUCUGUGUUGGAAGCAGAGGGUAUGGAGGUCAGUACCUAGAAAACAGGUAUGCAGGCCAUGGGGAACCCAGUGGUAGGGACAAGACCAGAGUUCAUGUCGAUCUUGGGAAUGCCAUGAAUUUCCCCUGCAGAAGAAAUCACUUAACUUUUCAACCCUAUCAGUAGUACCGUAUUUUGUAUGAAAAGUAGGAGACUUCUGAACAGUAAUUCAUUUCAUUGCAAGACAUUUUGAAAUUAAAAAACAAAACAAAACAAAAA
rnacentral:lncRNA from 1 species